ensembl:lncRNA
CACUGUCCAAAAUGAAUUGGAGAUUACAGAGAGUCCCAUCACAGCACUGACACCUCAUCCCAGCUUUCAAGGCUCAAUGGGUUCCAUGAGCAGCAUCUCCUGGGUGGGAUGGUGGUUAACACCACACUGGUUUCUCUUCUCGUCAUGGCUGAGGAUACCUACUUGGGAAGGGAGGUAGCUAAAUGGAAAUGAAAGAGCACUAUGGGCAACAGGGGAAAAGAGAGCAGGUGUAGAGGGGAAGAGGAAGGAGGAAGAAGAGGAGGAAGAAGAGGAGGAAGAAGGCAUCAAACAACUGACAGAAGAAGGCAAUGUUGCAGGAAUAACUGAAACUCUCAUUUGGGACCUCUCACCAGGGGACAACCAGUGUGGUUGUAAGAAGCAAGGAAAUCAGAGACUCCAGCAAUGCUCAGCUGUAACAGCAUGAGCACACUCAGAAAAAUGUGCCAAUGGGGGAAAUAGGGAAAUUUGGGGCUGGAAAUUUGGUACCACAGAGAAUCUGACCUCUUGCUAUCUGCAAAAGACAUCAGUGCCCCCUCCGCACUGCUGUACUUAAUUAAAAUUGGCAUUGACCGCAUGAACAGGAGGUGUAACAGAAGCUAUGGAAGCUUCAAAGCUAUUUGCACACAACAAAAUGUAGAUAAAUUGUGGAAGUGUAGUAGUUUUUUCUUUUGGAAAGUUUCUUCUAAGGAAGCCACUGUGCUGCAGAUACUGGCAAGCAGCUGGGAGAACAAACUUCCAGCACAGUGGAGGCCGCUGGGAAGAGAGGCCAAGCUCUCUGUCAGAGACCCAACAUCAUACGCCUUUUGUGUUGAAAUCUGUGAAAACUUGGGCAGCUACUUCCUAAUGAUUCUUUCUUUGAAAAUGCUUCAGGAGCAAGGCAAGGAAAAGAAGACCCUGUGAUAAUUCAGCACAGGGUAUACAUUAAGUUUCUGGUGCCUGUCAUAAUCAGCCAGCUUGUCUCAGUGCAUGCCACUCAGCAUGGCAGUGUCUGUGCCAGAUAAGGGGCAAUCCCUCCAUCCCACCCCCAGAUCUUUGUCACUGCUCUCCUUCAGAGGAGCAGUGAGAUCCUUGGCCAGAGGUGGUCAAUGAGGAGUAUUAUCAGCCAUAGGACUUGGCUGCAAGAACACUUCCAGCCGUGACGGCCACAGGUAGGACUACGGCAAUGGCCAUGGGUCAAACUGAGCCCACAGUGGUCUCACCACACAGAUAUACAAAAGAUCAAAGCCACCAACAAACACACCUUUUAGAAAUCACUAAGCUAUCUAAACCAUACACCAGAGAAGAGUUAGAUGUGAAAACAUUCCUUGAGAUUCUCACAGGGAUUGAGGCAAAUGGCUGUAUUAAAGAAAGAGGUCUGGAAGGUUAGAGGAAGGAAGCAUUAAUUUAGGUAGGGAUGCCAGGGCAUGGACGGGCUGCGGGUGAAACUGACAGCACCUCCCAGAAAGAAAUGGUUGCUAUAUAGCGUUAGAAAUUGAGGAGGGCAGAGGUCUCCUGCUGGGGCCGGGAAGGAAAUUUCUACACCAGUGCAGGGAUCAGGAGAGCACCUGGUCACUAUUUGCUGCUUUCCUACACAGUUCUGCCUGCUCAGUUUGGCUGUAAGUGAUGGCGUUCAUCACUUUUCAGAGAUGGCAUUUCUUCUGUAUGAUGCUAUUUACUCAGGGAGUAUGAGGAGGUAACCCGUUGAUUAUCUUAGCGGACAGAAGGAAUGGAAAGUCAAGUUUCAAGCUAUUGCCAUGACUUAAGAAACAUGCAAGGCUUUUGCCUCUGGACAUAAUCAAGUCAACGUGUUCAGUAUUGGUUUAUGCUUAAAAAGCAAAGUAAAAGCAGAUGAAGUGUAUUUAUAGGCUCAUCAGCCAAUGAAUGGAUGAAAGGGAAAAAGAAAUUAAUGGGAAAAUGUCAGCCAGGAUAGAGGAGGGACUCACUGCGAAGUUCAUGUCCAGACCAACAAUUUGGAGUUAAUUCCAAUGACUGGAAUAUACUGAUUUACAGUAGAAGAUAAAUUGACAUUUUAUCAACUUUGAAUAUAAAAUAAACGAGUAAAAUUAGCCUAAUGUGAGGGAGAU